GUGAUUCUGUGAGACUGAAUAACGAAUCAGCAUAAGGCACUUACAACCCAGGACUUCAGGAGAUGCUGGCUUAAACCUCUGGAGAGAUGGACGUCUUUGGGAGUUACUUUCGGAGUUUCGGGUUUGGCAACUUGAAAUCAAUCGCUGAAUAGCGAUGUUCAAGCGUCUGGCAGCUUCGAAUAUUUGCACAAUCUGAACAAGAGGACAAUUUCAUGAUUAUCUUUGUGUACAAUGUCGAUAUUUGUCAGCGUUACGUCUGGGAAGGCUUGAGGUUUCACGUUUUGGAUCAAUUAGACUCUGGGCUGUGCAUCAACAAAUCCAAAGUUCGGUUUCUGACGCCGUGAACGAAACUUCAUCGCGAUAUCGAAUCGAAUGGGGGUCUAAUGUUUGACUUUUAAGUCUUUUUAAUUUUUCGACGAAGAUGUACCUGGAAUAUCUCUGGACCUGGUUGUGAGCAUGACGCACUGAAACAUACGAAUCACAAUUUUUGCAACAAAUAACGCUUGUUAUGCAAAAGAAUAUUAAAGCCGGACGCAUUAAUCCAGUUCAAUGUUUGCGAUCCUGAGUCACGUUUUAGUAAAUCAGGUUCUUCUUCAUUUCACCGCCAUUUCUCCUUUGUAUGAGGAUGAAGAGUCGAAAACUAUUUGACCCUAAUUUUGUGGUAAACACUUUAAAACUAUCGCUUUGUAUUCUGAAGAUCUCCGAUAAAAAAUACUGGGGCUGGAAGUCGUCUAUACGAGUACAAUAAAAUAGGCCACGGCAGCUCCCUUCAACUCUCUUUCCAACAUAUCAUUGACAAAUAUCUGUCCCUGUCCAACAGCGCGCAGACAAUUAUAAAUGUCAGGAAACAGGACACAAUCAGGGCGAUGAUGGAGGCAGCAGGGACCUCUGAAAUGUCGGUAAACGUCUACCAGAAUACAUGGUUCUGUAAACCAGAAGACGAGAUACAAAGAUUGCAAUUGAUGAUGAUGACUUUAAAGUUGAAAUUUUAAAAUGUGAGAGACAUAAAAAGUAUCAAAGCUGGCGAUGAGUCAUUAAUUCUAAAUCUGAAUCAGUGGAAAGAACUUAAUAAAAAUUGUGAGAAGA